rnacentral:tRNA from 1 species
GGAAGUGUGGCAGAGAUGGAUUAUUGCACCGGUCUUGAAAACCGGCGGUCUGUGAAAGCAGGCCCAAGGGUUCGAAUCCCUUCACUUCCUCCA